rnacentral:rRNA from 1 species
GACGAACGCUGGCGGCGUGCUUAACACAUGCAAGUCGAACGGAAAGGCCCUGCUUUUGUGGGGUGCUCGAGUGGCGAACGGGUGAGUAACACGUGAGUAACCUGCCCUUGACUUUGGGAUAACUUCAGGAAACUGGGGCUAAUACCGGAUAGGAGCUCCUGCUGCAUGGUGGGGGUUGGAAAGUUUCGGCGGUUGGGGUUGGACUCGCGGCUUAUCAGCUUGUUUGUGGGGUAGUGGCUUACCAAGGCUUUGACGGGUAGCCGGCCUGAGAGGGUGAGCGGCAACAUUGGGACUGAGAUACGGCCCAGACGCCUACGGGAGGCAGCAGUGGGGAAUAGUGCACAAUGGGCGGAAGCCUGAUGCAGCAACGCCGCGUGCGGGAUGACGGCCUUCGGGUUGUAAACCGCUUUCGCCUGUGACGAAGCGUGAGUGACGGUAAUGGGUAAAGAAGCACCGGCUAACUACGUG